rnacentral:misc_RNA from 1 species
UCUCCGUUGGUGAACCAGCGGAGGGAUCAUUACAGGAUCGAAAGACUCCUAUAACCCCUGUGAACUUACUACAAAUACGUUGCUUCGGCGGGUGCCCCGGGUCUCCCGGGGCGUUCAGCCCGCCGGCAGUCUUCAAAUUCUGUUUCUUUGCGUUGGCAUCUCGAGUAUACAAAAAUAAGUUAAAACUUUCAACAACAGAUCUCUUGGUUCUG